AGACACGCAGAGACAAAGAAAGGGAAAGGGUGGAAAGAGAUAGAGAGCAGCAAGAGAGAGAAACAGAGAUGCGGAACGGCGAGUCAUCAACGAUCGGCUCCAGACGCGUGCUCGCCUCCCACCUACAUAACCGAAGUCGUCAAGUCUAGGGUUUUCCGGUGAAAAUUCAAGGGUUCAGAGGUGGUAGUGGCGAGUUCCAACUGAAGUAGUGGUGAACCUUUGCGAACGGAGGCUACAGAGGAAAACGAACAGAGCCUUGUGAGUAGGGUAAAUCUUUUGCAAUCAAUUAACCGAUACGAGGUGUGUCCACAACUUUGAUAUAAAGUUUCAGGCGGACCACCGGCGGCCUAUCCGACGAAAAGGCAGUUAAGGUCGCACCUCCGAUUGUGUCAGAUUUCCCUUAAAUAUGAUAAACCCAUGUCUUAACAGGCCAUUUUCUGAAGUUUAUAUGCCCAUGACUGAGGUGCAAUAUACAGUGAAUAUUGUUGAUUAGCCUGAGUUAGAAAUGAAAGAGAGGAUACAAGAAAAAGGUGGACGAAUUAAACAACAGUCUUUCGAAGCAUAUGGAACAGAUUAAGAAAGAUUUAGUGGACCCCGAAAAACUUUAAGCCACACUCGCCAAUGAAUCUUUCUCUAACGGUUCCGAUCUCAAAAAGUCGCUACAAAUGGUGGCACUACUCGAAGCACAUAAGAAAGAGAUGAACCCUAAUCUUGAUUCCAUCGCUGAUUACCGGAACAAAGUAAGCAUAUACAAUGAGCGUGUCGAGGAGCUUAAUGUGGUAACCAAUGAACGCGACGAUACGAAAAAACAAUAUGAUGAGUGGAGAAAGAGAAGGCUAGAUGAAUUCAUGGCAGGGUUUAACACCAUAUCUCUGAAGUUGAAGGAAAUGUAUCAGGUUUUAAACCACAGUAGUUGGCUUAAAACUGUGGUUUCAAACCACAGUAGUUUGAGGAAUAAUUGGAAGAAUGAUGUGGAUAAGCUUAACUUUUUACAUAGACUGAAUUUCAAAUUUUGUCCUAUAUCUAUAUAUCUAAUUUCAAGCGGUGUCCUUUAUCUUUAAAAUUGACGAUUUUUGUACUUAUUGUUUUAAAAUUUUGCACAGUAUGUCCUUUGACCC
rnacentral:lncRNA from 1 species